GUGGGGAUUGAAGGAAAAACACAAGAUUUGGGAGAGGGAGGUCGGAAGCUUGCUGUGGCUGAAAAUGGGAGAAAACUCUCCCAUUUCGGCUAAAUGCCCCUUUUAUAGGUGGCUGGCCAGGCCACGUUCGGGGGCCGAAGGUGCCUCCGCAUGCAUGCAAGGUUCGGCGGCCGAACUUGGAGUUCGGCGGCCGAACCUGCAUUUCCCUCACUCAAAAUUUUCGGGCGCCUAAAGUCCCUCCGAAAGCAUGCAUGUUCGGCGGCCGAACCUCAAAGUUCGGCUGCCGAACCUGGGUUUUCCUCCAAAGAUUGUUCGUGCAAAAACUCAUUUAAUUCUUACUUAAAAACAUGAAAUACAUGAAAACAUUUCAUAAAAUCAUAGUUUUACCCUUCUAGAGGUUUCCGACAUCCGAGGUCCCACCGGACGGUAGGGAUUCCGAUACCGGAGUCUAGCCGGGUAUUACA
rnacentral:lncRNA from 1 species